UGCCAGCCGCCGCGGUAAUACGGAGGGAUCUAGCGUUAUUCGGAAUAACUGGGCGUAAAGCGAGCGUAGGCGGAUUUGUAAGUUGGGGGUGAGAUCCCAGGCCUAACCCUGGAACUGCCUUCAAAACUACAUUUCUUGAGUUUGGUAGAGGAGAGUGGAAUUCCUAGUGUAGAGGUGAAACUCGUAGAUAUUAGGAGGAACACCAGUGGCGAAGGCGACUCUCUGGGCCAAUACUGACGCUGAGGUUCGAAAGCGUGGGGAGCGAACGGGAUUAGAUA
rnacentral:rRNA from 1 species